AACUCUUUAAUUCACACAAUAUUAUUUUGCGGGUAAAAAAAGGGGUGCGACACUCAUGAGAUAUCUUUAUGGGAUUACUAUGUGCAAGAACCAAGAGUAGGUGAUAGUUUCAAUGAGGCAAUGGCCAGUGACUCGAGAUUGAUUUCCAAUGUUCUUAUUACGGAGUGUAAACAUGUUUUUGAGGGAUUGACGUCGUUGGUGGAUGUUGGAGGCGGCACUGGCACUGUGGCAAUUGGAAACUUCAAGGGAAGUGGGAAUGUGGAGUUUGUCGGAGGAAGUAUGAGAAGAUUCCUAAUGCUAAUGCAAUCUUACUCAAGUGAAUUCUGCAUAACUGGAGCGACGAAGACUGUGUGAAGAUACUGAAGAAAUGCAAAGAGUCUAUUCCGAGUAGGGAAGAAGGAAGGAAGGUGAUAAUCAUAGACAGUGCUCGAAAAUCCGAAUGUGAGAAAUGAGUUUGUUCGAGCACAGCAUUAUAUGGACUUGUUAAUGAUGGUUUGCUAUGCUGCCAAACAGAGAACUAAAAUGGAAUGGGAGAGGCUCUUCACUGAUGCUGGUUUCAAUGAAUACAAAAUAACUCCCACUUUAGGAACAAGGUCUCUUAUUGAAAUAUACCCUUGAAGAAGUCUUGGCUUGAAAAGUGCGUAUGUUUAUGAAUUGUAUUGAAUCAACUUAUUUGGCUUGGCUUUUUUUU